AGGACUGAAGCCCGCUGGAUGGGGCGUUUAGUUGUUAACUAAUAUUUUACGGGAUCAAGGCCCGUCGGUCGUA
rnacentral:tRNA from 1 species